rnacentral:rRNA from 1 species
GANUGGAAAUGGGCGCAGCCUGAUCCAGCCAUCCCGCGUGGAUGAUGAAGGCCCUAGGGUUUCNAAAUCCUUUCGNUGGGGACGAUAAUGACGGUACCCAAAGAAGAAGCUCCGGCUANNUUCGUGCCAGCAGCCGCGGUAAUACGAAGGGGGCUAGCGUUGUUCGGAUUUACUGGGCGUAAAGCGCGUGUAGGCGGACUUGUAAGUUGGGGGUGAAAUCCCGAGGCUCAACCUCGGAACUGCCUCCAAAACUACAAGUCUGGAGCAAGAUAGAGGCAAGUGGAAUUGCGAGUGUAGAGGUGAAAUUCGUAGAUAUUCGCAGGAACACCAGUGGCGAAGGCGACUUGCUGGAUCUUUGCUGACGCUGAGACGCGAAAGCGUGGGGAGCAAACAGGAUUAGAUGCCCUGGUAGUCCACGCUGUAAACGAUGAGAGCUAGUUGUCGGCACGCAUGCGUGUCGGUGACGCAGCUAACGCAUUAAGCUCUCCGCCUGGGGAGUACGGCCGCAAGGUUAAAACUCAAAAAAAUUGACGGA